rnacentral:rRNA from 1 species
AUUGAACGCUGGCGGCAGGCCUAACACAUGCAAGUCGAACGAGUGGCGGACGGGUGAGUAAUGUAUGGGAACCUGCCUGAUGGAGGGGGAUAACUACUGGAAACGGUAGCUAAUACCGCAUACCAUCAGAUGUGCCCAGAUGGGAUUAGCUAGUUGGUGGGGUAACGGCUCACCAAGGCAACGAUCCCUAGCUGGUCUGAGAGGAUGACCAGCAACACUGGAACUGAGACACGGUCCAGACUCCUACGGGAGGCAGCAGUGGGGAAUUUUGGACAAUGGGCGAAAGCCUGAUGCAGCCAUGCCGCGUGUAUGAAGAAGGCCUUCGGGUUGUAAAGUACUUUCGGCAGAGAGGCGUUAUCCGCAGAAGAAGCACCGGCUAACUCCGUGCCAGCAGCCGCGGUAAUAC